rnacentral:rRNA from 1 species
AAUUUUGGACAAUGGGGGAAACCCUGAUCCAGCCAUCCCGCGUGUAUGAUGAAGGCCUUCGGGUUGUAAAGUACUUUUGGCAGAGAAGAAAAGGUAUCUCCUAAUACGAGAUACUGCUGACGGUAUCUGCAGAAUAAGCACCGGCUAACUACGUGCCAGCAGCUGCGGUAAUACGUAGGGUGCAAGCGUUAAUCGGAAUUACUGGGCGUAAAGCGUGUGUAGGCGGUUCGGAAAGAAAGAUGUGAAAGCCCAGGACUCAACCUUGGAACUGCAUUUUUAACUGCCGAGCUAGAGUAUGUCAGAGGGGGGGUAGAAUUCCACGUGUAGCAGUGAAAUGCGUAGAUAUGUGGAGGAAUACCGAUGGCGAAGGCAGCCCCCUGGGAUAAUACUGACACUGAGGUGCGAAAGCGUGGCGAGCAAACAGG